GCUCCAAUCUCUUCAACUUAGCAGGAUCGACUGGUGCUUUCUUGAACUCCGGAGGUGGUGGCAUCUUUGGUGGUAAAGGAGGUGGCAUAGGUGGUGGUGUUGGUUUUAGCAAACCUGAGCCAUAAUUCACUGUACUAUUUAUUAAUCACUGCACGAUAUGAAUAAAAGAAAAAGAUAAAAAAAUGAAAUAAGUUUAUGUAGGAGAAUAUGAGAUUGCCACUGAACUAAGCGAAAUUCAAUUUAUCAAUUGAACUCAGGUGUUUAUAGUGAACUAAGUUCGCGUCUUAGCUGUUGUUCAGUCUUACUGAAGAUUCGAACCACUAUUUGCAUUCGCACCUGAUGAACUCGCGACGCACGCGGAACUACCAAUACUAUUUUGGGUCGCAUUUAGACCACAAGUAGUCUAGCGCACAAGAGAUCAAAGAGUAAAGAUCGUUAGGUGAUGCACUUGAGGACGGCUUGCAUCCCAUUACAGUAAAUGUGCCUGCACCUAAUUUCUAAUUGUAAUUUGUGAUAGUGAGCACAGAUAGUCAAUAUCAUUAGAUAUUUUUUUAAGAUAGCAUUCACCGAAUACUUCAAUAUUUGAAUUCCUUAUAAUAAUAUGUAUUUUGCUUCUUUGGUGUUUUACCAAAAUUGAAAUAAUAAAAAAUUGAAAAUAAGAAAAACACUGACUCUUAUCAAAAAAAUUAUCGAAAACACAGUAGCACAAAAAGAAAAUCUGUUGCCAAACAGACGAGAAUAUUGUGGUUGACAGUAUUGCCUUUGUUUAAUUGUAUACAGAUUCUUCUUCGGAAACUUUAUCAUUCACUUCAAUAAAUCUUUAAAUGAGCUAGUGAGCCUUCAAUAGACCAAA